AUUCUAUUAACGCGGACGCAGUUCGUUGAGAACCUUCCGGGUUCAUUGCCCAAAAAAUGUACCACAGUUUCCAUCCAAGUCGUCUCACCUUCAAAUUGCAUUAGAGGGUAUACUAUAAAGCUAUUUUUAAAUGGUUUCCGUCUUUCUUUAAAUAGCCGACGCUAUACGCCAAUAAAAUGCUUGAUCAAACCACCGAUCGAUCUACGAGUAAUUUUAUGAACAUCAGAACAUUCGUUGGCGUCAAAUCAAUAACACUGUUCAUUAUUAAAAAGACAAAAUUUUAUCUUUUCCAAUUCAACUGAUGCAUGUGUCAAUUUAUCUUCCAUUAAUCUUAAUAUACUCUUUAUUAAUCGAUAUUACUUUGAAUGACAAUUAACAGAUUGACAAUACCCAUAUAACACAGCAAAGGCAGCCAAACACUAUAGUCUUACCGCAAUGGCCAUCCGAGUAAGUUUGUCCUUAGAUGAGUCACAAGUUCAGCAAACUAAAUGCUGGGCUUGGAGUAUUUUUCCGUUGAUCAUUUGGACCAGAAUUCUAGGUGUAAACUUAUCAGAUAUAUCGAAUUCAUCCGCCAAACAUCAUCACUGGCUGAUUAUUGCUUAUGGCGGUUUCUGCCUCUUGUGUCAUUUGGCUGGCCAGAUUGAUAUUUUGUAUUACUUGCAAGGUAAACUGAAGAUGGGUUCUCUCGAGCGAAGCGGCGGAUUAAAUUAUGAAACAUCAACCGCUACCUGGAAUUCCAUUAUUGAUUUUAUCAAUUACGCCGUUCAUGGAAUUGGAACUCAUGUGCUAAUGUUGACUGUCAUCCGGAAGCGGUGGAUCAAUUUAAUGGAAACCUUUCGUAGCUCAGAGGAUAUGUUCUCUGAUGAAAGAUACAUUCGAAUUCGAAAAGUAGCUACCUACGGCGUUGCUUAUGUUAUUUUGUUGAUUUUAGGACUUAUCUCUGUUUCUUUGGGACACCACCUGGCUGCGGGGACUACAAGUGGACAUCGCAUUUUCAUAAGCUUCAUGUCCACCGUUUCAAUCAUUUAUCCUUUGACAGCUUUGGUUGUAUUCUCUAUCCACUGCUAUGUGUCGUCUCUCCUAUUCGAGUCAGUCCAGUCUGAAAUCCACCGUAAUGAAAUUCAGCUAAUGAACGGCCGAGAUCAGGAUGUCCGUCUUUUAAUUCUUGCCUUCAAACAGCGACACAUUCUGGCUUGUAAAACAGUUGACAGCAUCAACCAUUGUUUCGGAUGGAUUCUCCUGCUAUCAAUAACUUUUUUCUAUUUGGCCGUUAUUAACUCGAGCUUUUAUUUGUUUGGACUGGACAACAUUAUUUCCAUGCCAGACGUAGCUUUUACUACUUUUACUGUCAUUCAUCUAAUUUGUGUGUGCUUCACGGCGGAUCGCGUCCAGAUAAAGGCCGAAGACGCCAUCAAAGAACUCUUCCGUCUUCAGUCCUAUGAAACGUUGAACGGAUCUCAAAUGCAGCUGAUGAAUUUUCUUAUUUCGGAGAUGGCACUAACAGUUCCAAAAAUCAGCGCUAACGGUUGCUUUAAUGUCAGUAAGAAGCUUUUGCCCCAGGUGAUUGGGACAUCGCUGACUUAUUUCUUUAUUCUCUUCCAAUUUGAAGCGUCAGAAAAGAAUGUGACCCUGACUGAAAAUUAAGCCAAACACGCCUGAUAGUUUAAAUUGAACCAGAAAACUUUGUGUAUAGUCCUGGAGAAAUAGCAUAAGCCGGUUAAGUGAUUUCUAAAAGAACCCGGUGACAUUUGAACAAGAACUUCUAUUAUUAUAUUUGUCAACUUGACACAAGCAAACACUCACACGGCAUAAUACUGGGGAUACGCGGAGUAAUUUGAUGGAAACAUAAUAAACUGAUCCAUUAAAUUACUCAACACUUGUUGAAAAAGAAUUCAAUUUUUUUAAAGUGAAAAUAACAAAAGACCGCAAAAGACAUGGCAAAGUGACCCUUUAUGUAACAUCGUAUGAUGAUGAGCUUUUGUUAGUAAAACCGUUAUGUCUACCCGCACAAGUUCAUUUUCAGAAGAGAGGCCCGAACAUCAAAUUAUUGGCUGGGCAUGGAGUAUUCGUCCUUUAAUCAUUUGGGCACGUAUUCUAGGUGUGUAUCUCUCAGAUGUUUAUCCAUCAUCAGAUCCACAUCAACGACUGACAGUUGCCUAUGGAAUCUUUUGUUUUCUGCUGCACAUAUCCAGUGAAAUCAACAGCAUAUACUACUUGUAUAGUACACAGACUGUACACGUCUCGCUCGAACAAUCGUACGGGCUGCUAUUUGUCACGACGACUGCUGCCUGGAACUGGACUAUUGAUUUCAUCAAUUACGUCGCCCACGGAAUCGGAGUUCACGUCAUAUUGGUGACUGUUGUACAGGCACAAUGGAAGGAUCUAUUGAAUAUUUUACAGCGUUUGCUAGAGGAAUUUCCCGAUGCAAAUUAUAUUCGAAUACGCAGACUGUCUUUGUUUGGCGUAGCUUACGUCAUUUUAAUGAUUUCCGGACUUGUCGCUGCCUCAGUAACGGACUACCACUUGGCUGCAGGGUCUUCAUCUAUUCACAGCAUCUUUAUCACUAUUACUUCAACCUUAUCAAUCAUUUACCCCUUGACAACUAUCGUUCUAUUUGCUGUCCACUGCUACGCAUCGUCUGUUGCAUACGCAUUAAUUCGCACAAAAAUCAAGCGCUGUGCAAUUCAGCUAAGGAACGGUCGAGGUCGCGACGUCAGGAUUUUAUUGCUUACUUUGAAAAAUCGAUUCAUAUUGGCCUCUGACACUGUCGAUGGAAUCAACCGCACUUUUGGCUGGAUGCUGCUCCUGUCUACGAUCUUUUUCUUCGUGGCUAUCAUUAAUGCAAGCUACGUCGUUUUCUCUUUGGAUAAGCAGAUAACUGCAGGGGAUUUGGUGUUUUUAUUAUUUGCCCUAGUUCACUUGACUCUCAUCUGUUUCGUCGCAGAUCACAUUACCAAUAACGCAGAAGAAAUGAUCGGAGAUCUGUUGAGGUACAAAUGUGAUAAAAUCUCGAACAAGGAAUAUCAAAUAGAGAUGGAAUACCUUAUAUCGGACAUGUUGCAUGAAAUACCGCAAAUCAGCGCCAACGGUUGCUUCAACGUCAAUAAGAGACUAAUCCCGCAGGUGAUUGGAACAACAGCAACUUAUUUUUUUAUUCUUUGCCAGUUCGAAGAAUCCGAAAAGAAAGUGUGUCCUGUUUCUUGACUCAAUGCACUUGAUCAUUUUGACAGGAGGUCGUGAUUAUUCUUACGCAAGUUUCAACAAUAGUUGUCAUGCAGUAGUUAGUCUGUCCUAUUCUGUACGAAAAGAAUGUUACAUAAGGCCAUAAGGCAAAUGAAACUUUCGAUAAAACUGUCAAAUAAAAUGAACGCGCCCUUAUUACGCAUGUGAACUUCGCUUAUUGAAAUAACUAUAACAGCUAUACGAUAAUUAAAAAAGUUAUGGACAUGACCUAAUUACUUUUUCAUUCCUACUGAUGAACUGAUGACAGCUAUGGAAGUCAAUUACUCGAUUGCUUUUUUCAGUACGAGUCAACACAAAAAGCUAGCUGACUUAAAGUGCAAUUUGAUUGGUGUAAGCUUUUAAAAGUGUUAUUUAGUGGUAAUAUUAGUCGAACUGUGAUGGCCAUCCGAGUAAGUUGGUUUUCAGAAGAGAUACCAAUAAUCCAACAACCUGCAACUACGUGUUGGGCAUGGAGUAUUCGCCCUUUGAUUAUCUGGCUCCGCAUCAUUGGCGUGGAUCUUCCGGACACUUCAACUCCAUCCACCCAACGCAACCGAUGGCACAUUUCCGUUUACAGGGCCUUUUGCUUUUUGCUCCAUGCCUCUUGCCAGAUUAAUAUUCUACGCUAUCUAUUUAAUACGGGGUUACAAGUUUUUCUAUACCAAACCGACGACCUAGGCUUUGGCACAACAACCGCAAACUGGAACUGGAUUAUUGAUUUUACAAAUUACACUAUUCAUGGAGUUGGAAUUCACCUGGUGCUGCUCACUGUCAUCCGUUUCCAAUGGAUCGAUACGAUGGAAAUUUUUCAACGUUUGAACGCCAUUUUCACGGAAGAAAAUUACAUUGGAAUACGCAAAAUUUCCUAUUGCGGCGUCAUUUACGUUAUCGUGCUGGUAAGAACGAUAUGGGAAGUCAAUCAUUUCAUUUCAGCAAUACGAUUUUGUUCCAUACAGAUUUCUUUACUGCUUGCUGCUUCAACGGAUUACGCCUUGCCGUCCGGAACUUCAGUUUCUCACGGCGUCUUUAUCAAAAUGACGGCAGUCCUAUCAAUAACUUAUCCGUUGACAGCCAUAGUAAUAUUUGCUAUCCACUGCUACGCGUCGUCUCUGGCCUUCGAGGGGAUUCGGAAGGAAAUAAAGCGCUAUGAAAUUGAGCUAAUCAACGGUCGAAAUCAUGAUGUCAGCCUCUUGUUGAGUGUUUUCAAACAAAAACACAUCAUUGCUUGCGAUACGGUUGAUUCCAUCAAUCACACUUUUGGCUGGAUGCUGCUUUUCUCUAUGACUUUUUUCUUUGUGGUUGUUAUCAACGCAAGCUGCGCAGUGUUUGGCCUACCGGAUCACACGACCGUAGCGGAUAUUUCGUUUCUAGCAUUUGCUCUCGUUCAUCUGCCUCUCAUUUGUUUUGCUGCAGAUCACAUUUCCAGCAAGGCUGAAAACAUGAUCAAAGAACUGAUGAGGCUGAAAUGUGCUGAUGAGCCGUUAAAGGGAUACGAAUUGGAGGUGGAAUUUCUUAUAGCGGAUAUGGUGGAAACGAUUCCACAAAUCAGCGCCAAGGAUUACUUCAAAGUGAACAAAAGGCUUUUCCCUCAAGUGAUUGGAACGACUCUAACUUACUUUUUCAUUCUACACCAGUUUAAGGCUUCCGAAAAGAAACUUAAUCCUGAAGAUGAUUAAUCAUAUUAAAAGUAACAUAUUAAUCAUCUUACCUAAGUUAUCAUCGCAAUCAACGCAAUUAUUUUCGCUAGAAAAGCUAUUCAAGACACGAAUCUAUUCAUUCAAUUUCCUUGAUUUGUAUCACAUAAUUUUAUUUCUCCCACGGUAAUUCCAUUCUAUUUGUACUGGUGUCUUGAUGAACACACUUUUUUAAAUGUAUGGCUCCCGAAGUCCCGAUAUCGAAUUAAAAUUUGAUGGAUACUAAUGACUCUACAGAAUAUUGCGGAUCGAUAAACAAUUAUAUUUUGGCGAACCAACACUUCACCAAAAUAUUGAUUCAAUUACUCAACUUAAUC
rnacentral:misc_RNA from 1 species